rnacentral:rRNA from 1 species
AUUGGACGCUGGCGGCAGGCCUAACACAUGCAAGUCGAGCGGAUGAAGGGAGCUUGCUCCUGGAUUCAGCGGCGGACGGGUGAGUAAUGCCUAGGAAUCUGCCUGGUAGUGGGGGAUAACGUCCGGAAACGGGCGCUAAUACCGCAUACGUCCUGAGGGAGAAAGUGGGGGAUCUUCGGACCUCACGCUAUCAGAUGAGCCUAGGUCGGAUUAGCUAGUUGGUGGGGUAAAGGCCUACCAAGGCGACGAUCCGUAACUGGUCUGAGAGGAUGAUCAGUCACACUGGAACUGGGACACGGUCCAGACUCCUACGGGAGGCAGCAGUGGGGAAUAUUGGACAAUGGGCGAAAGCCUGAUCCAGCCAUGCCGCGUGUGUGAAGAAGGUCUUCGGAUUGUAAAGCACUUUAAGUGGGGAGGAAGGGCAGUAAGUUAAUACCUUGCUGUUUUGACGUUACCAACAGAAGAAGCACCGGCUAACUUCGUG